rnacentral:tRNA from 1 species
CUUGUGGUCGUCCAAAGGUAGGACGUCGGUUUUGAGGACCGAAUGUAUGGGUUCGAUUCCCAUCCACUGCACCA